AACCCCUGGUUGCAACUCGUGGUCACAACAGCGGUCACGUCGCCUCCCCAAUCCCCCUCACCUCGCAUCUCCUCAUCUCCUGCCUGUCGCCAUCCCCAUCGCCACCUCCCUUCAGCGCCGGGCACCGGCUCGCCUCCCUCCAUCGCCGCCUUUCCCGUGUUUCCUUCAGUUCCCCGUCGCCGCCUCCCUCCUCCACUGCUUCGCAGCCACCGCGGCACCGCCGGCCAGAGCCUCGAGUUCCCAUCCGCCCCAACUUGACGAGUUGACGGACGCCAUCCUCCUCCAGAUCUGCCGCUGCCACCUCGCCCCCCCGACACCUCUGACCCCCUUCUCCGCGCAAGGUUAGCAGAACUCCAUCCCAUCGAGAGCGAGACGCGUUCAGGCAAGGUGACCAAGGCGCGGCAGGCGAGGAAGAACGACAAGGCGCGGCGACGGGGGCGCGGAGCAGGGAGCCUGUGAGCAGAGCAAUGAUCCCAGUCAACAAGCAAUGGCUCGAGACUUUCUUGCUGUCCCGUUGAGCACAUUAUCUUCAGAAUCGGCAUUCAGCUGUGGUGGCAGAAUUCUGGGGGAUUAUCGAAGCUCAAUGAAGCCAGAAAUGGUCGAGGCACUGGUUUGUAGUAAAGAUUGGUUGACUGAACUUCCGGAGAACGAAGGUAAAGACCCAAUGGUGAUUGUCGCCUAGAUCUUUGAUCUCCAUCAAUGCCUACAGGUUCUACAGUGGUGCUGUUAAAGAAAGCCAAGGGAGAAAGAAGUGUCAUCUGAAGAGGAAGAAGGGCCUGUAAAGACAUCUAUUGGGAAGAAGCCCAGGAGGAUCCUUAACUAGUUGCUCCCGUUUUCCAUGGGCUGCUUCCGUGCUGAGCCCCCCCCCCCCCCGCUGAUUCAACAUCCUGAACUAGCAGUCUCAGUAGCACCUCUAAUGUUUUUCAAUUAAUCAUUUUUUUCUGGAAUACGUCAGCUAUCAUCGUUUAUAGCAAGGGCUGCAGAGCAGCAAGUUAGAUACUCCGUACAUUUUUUGUGUGCUGAUUCAACAUCCUGAACCAGCAAGUUAGAUACAUGUUCGGUGUCACUUCAUUGCUCAUAUGCUCUGUUAUAUUCGUGAUGUUUGUGUUA